AUGAUUCAGUUAAUAUUGCACCUGAAACUCAUUAGAAACAUAUUUGAUGACGCUCCCUCCCUCCCUCCCUUCCUCCCUCCCUCCCUCCCUCCUCCCUCCCUCCCUCCCUCCCUCCCUCCCUCCCUCCCUCCCUCCCUUCCCUCCCUCCCUCCCUCCCUCCCUCCCUCCCUCCCUCCCUUCCUUCCUCCCUCCCUCCCUCCCUCCCUUCCUUCCUCCUCCCUUCCUUCCCUUCCCUCCCUCCCUCCCUCCCUCCCUUCCCUUCCCUUCCCUUCCCUCCCUCCCUCCCUCCCUCCCUCCCUUCCCUUCCCUCCCUCCCUCCCUCCCUCCCUCCCUCCCUCCCUCCCUUCCUUCCUCCCUCCCUCCCUCCCUCCCUCCCUUCCUUCCUACCUCCCUUCCUUCCUCCCUCCCUCCCUCCCUCCCUUCCUUCCUUCCUCCCUCCCUCCCUCCCUCCCUCCCUCCCUCCCUCCCUCCCUCCUCCCUUCCUUCCUUCCCUCCCUCCCUCCCUCCCUCCUUCCUCCUUCCUUCCUCCCUCCCUCCCUCCCUCCCUCCCUUCCUUCCUACCUCCUUCCUUCCUCCCUCCCUCCCUCCCUCCCUCCCUCCCUCCCUUCCUCCCUUCCUCCCUCCCUCCCUCCCUCCCUCCCUCCCUCCCUCCCUUCCCUCCCUCCCUCCCUCCCUUCCUUCCUCCCUCCCUCCCUCCCUUCCUCCCUUCCUUCCUCCCUCCCUCCCUCCCUCCCUCCCUUCCUUCCUCCCUCCCUUCCUUCCUCCCUCCCUCCCUUCCUCCCUUCCUUCCUCCCUCCCUCCCUCCCUCCCUCCCUCCCUCCCUCCCUCCCUUCCCUUCCUUCCCUCCCUCCCUCCCUCCUCCCUUCCCUUCCCUUCCUUCCUUCCUCCCUCCCUCCCUUCCCUUCCUUCCUCCCUCCCUCCCUUUCCCUUCCUCCCUCCCUUCCUUCCUUCCUCCCUCCCUCCCUCCCUUCCUUCCUUCCUUCCUUCCUACCUCCCUUCCUUCCUUCCUCCCUCCCUUCCUUCCUUCCUUACUUCCUCCCUCCCUUCCUUCCUUCCUUCCUUCCUUCCUUCCUUCCUUCCUACCUCCCUUCCUUCCUUCCUUCCUUCCUCCCUCCCUUCCUUCCUUCCUUCCUUCCUUCCUUCCUACUUCCCUUCCUUCCUUCCUUACUUCCUCCCUCCCUCCCUUCCUUCCUUCCUUCCUUCCUACCUCCCUUCCUUCCUUCCUUCCUUCCUCCCUCCCUUCCUUCCUUCCUUCCUUCCUUCCUUCCUACUUCCCUUCCUUCCUUCCUUACUUCCUCCCUCCCUCCCUUCCUUCCUUCCUUCCUUCCUACCUCCCUUCCUUCCUUACUUCCUCCCUCCCUCCCUCCCUCCCUUCCUUCCUUCCUUCCUUCCUUCCUACCUCCCUCCCUUCCCUCCUUCCUUCCUUCCUCCCUCCCUCCCUCCCUUCCUUCCUUCCUUCCUUCCUACCUCCCUUCCCUUCCUUCCUUCCUUCCUUCCUUCCUUCCUCCCUCCCUCCCUUCCUUCCUUCCUUCCUUCCUACCUCCCUUCCUUCCUUACUUCCCUCCCUCCCUCCCUCCCUCCCUUCCUUCCUUCCUUCCUUCCUUCCUACCUCCCUCCCUUCCCUCCUUCCUUCCUCCCUCCUCCCUCCCUCCCUUCCUCCUUCCUUCCUCCCUCCCUCCCUCCCUCCCUCCCUUCCUUCCUCCCUCCCUUCCUUCCUCCCUCCCUCCCUCCCUCCCUCCCUCCCUCCCUUCCUCCCUUCCUUCCUCCCUCCCUCCCUCCCUCCCUCCCUCCCUUCCUCCCUCCCUCCCUCCCUCCCUUCCUUCCUCCCUCCCUCCCUCCCUUCCCUUCCCUUCCUUCCCUUCCCUCCCUCCCUCCCUCCCUCCCUUCCCUUCCUCCCUUCCCUUCCUCCCUCCCUCCCUUCCUCCUUCCUUCCUUCCUCCCUCCCUCCCUCCCUCCCUUCCUCCUUCCUUCCUUCCUUCCUCCCUCCCUCCCUUCCCUUCCUUCCUCCUCCCUCCCUUCCCUCCUUCCUCCCUCCCUCCCUUUCCUUCCUCCUCCCUUCCUUCCUUCCUCCCUCCCUCCUCCCUUCCUUCCUUCCUUCCUUCCUACCUCCCUUCCUUCCUUCCUCCCUCCUUCCUUCCUUCCUUCCUCCCUCCUUCCCUUCCUUCCUUCCUUCCUUCCUUCCUUCCUUCCUACCUCCCUUCCUUCCUUCCUUCCUUCCUUCCCUCCUUCCUUCCUUCCUUCCUUCCUUCCUUCCUACUUCCCUUCCUUCCUUCCUUCCUCCUCCCUCCUUCCUUCCUUCCUUCCUACCUCCCUUCCUUCCUUCCUUCCUUCCUCCUUCCUUCCUUCCUUCCUUCCUUACUUCCCUUCCUUCCUUCCUUCCUUCCCUCCUUCCUUCCUCCUUCCUUCCUUCCUUCCUUCCUUACUUCCUCCCUCCCUCCCUCCCUCCCUUCCUUCCUUCCUUCCUUCCUUCCUACCUCCCUCCCUUCCCUCCUUCCUUCCUUCCCUCCCUCCCUCCCUUCCCUUCCUUCCUUCCUUCCCUCCUUCCUUCCUUCCUUCCUUCCUUCCUCCCUCCCUCCCUUCCUUCCUUCCUUCCUUCCUACCUCCCUUCCUUCCUUACUUCCUCCCUCCCUCCCUCCCUCCCUUCCCUUCCUUCCUUCCUUCCUUCCUUCCUACCUCCCUCCCUUCCCUCCUUCCUUCCUACCUCCCUCCCUCCCUCCCUUCCUUCUUUCAGCGCCUCGUUUCUCUGCAGACCUCCACCAUCUCUUUUCCACUCCUCUCCAUCUUCUCACAUUUCACCUUCACCUCUUCCCUUUCUCCUCAUUUCUCCACCUGCUCUUGUCUUUUGACCUCAUAACCUGA
rnacentral:lncRNA from 1 species